GCUAAACUUGAAAUUUCCCAUUUUAGAGGGGUAGGGUAGGUCCUGCGUGCCCCUCUGCCUUCAAAAUCCAAUGUGUCUUAAGAGGCUAGGCUUGAUUCACAAAACUGAAAAUUCCUUAUAACCAACGUGAGAUAUAAGUUACAAUAUUCAAGAAAGAAGUGUCAGUACAUCAUAAUAAUUAUGGAAGUCACCCUUAACCCUCUUAAAUUUUUUGUUUUAAAUUUCUCAAUUUUCGGAUUGGCUAAGGAUUAUGGUGUAUUUGGUACCUAAGGAUUACGAUGUUUUGCGCUCUCUCUCACACAAAGCCACCCACCAAACCCUAUUCAUUGCCCCUCUUCCACUCUCUAUAUAAACCACCUUCAACCCUCCCUUCAAUAUCCAUCAAUAGUCUUCAAAGUUCUAUUCUUUUCCCUCAAUUUUAGCUUUGGGUUUUUGUUCUUAUCAACUUUGCUUCAUGUUCUUUCACUUCUUUUUGAAGUUCUUUCUAUUUGAUGCAAUGGGGUUCGGGAUUCUCUUUAUUCUUCUUCUGCAUGGGAUGAUAUGAUGAUGAUGAUGGUGAUGUUGAUGUUGAUGUUGAUAAUGGUACAACAGCCAUUGUUUUCUGUUGGAGCAUCAUCAAGAUUCACAAAAAGCAUUUUAAGGUUUUUUUAAUUGAAUUGAUCAAUCAGCGCUUUAUGAAUAUGUUUUUGAGAAUCUUGAUGAUGCUGCAGUGGCAAUAAAUGGCUAAGUUCUCUAUUUCAUAGCAAGCAAGAGCUAACAAGAAAAGAAGCUUUAAAAAUGCAGAUGGUCCAGUACAGGGAUAUAUAGCAAAUCUCUUUUAUGUUCAUUGUUGUUGAUUAUUUGUUAACAUGAUGUAAUUCUUUAGUUAAUUUUUACUAAAUGUAUUUUUUCAUUAUUCUUUAUAAAGAUUUACAUGCUUUUUUUAACGUUAUCAGUUUCUCCU